AUCGCUCGCUAUGACGUGCGCUGACCACCAGGGGGUGGUGCAGAACAUGGCAGGCAUCCAUGACGUGAAAUGGCAGCAGGUGGCAGUGGAGGCGCUGCCAGCCCCAAUGGCCCCUGAUAAGAGCUGGAUUGCAGUGGGAUGGUGGAGCAGUCCCUUCUAGGCAAGCCAAUCUCCUGUGGUUCCUCCCCAGCCAGUUGGCCCCAAUUGUAUCUCUGCAGCUGAAAGAAGUCGGCGUUGUCAACAGAAUAUGUCUGACUACCAACUAUUGACACAAUGUACCUCUGCAGCUGAAAUAAAGCGGCAUCAUUGACAGAGUAUGUCUGAAAAACUGUCAUCAACAAGUACUGCCAAUACUGCAUUUCUAUCUUUGGAUGAACGUACCUGGAGUUACAUAUCUGAGAUACUGGAAAAAGAAAAGUUGUGGCCACAGGAACUCAUCCUUCAUCUAUUCGCCACCUGUCCUCAUCAAGACCAAGAAGAAAUUCUGCAAUAGUGUUCAGCCUGACUGUUUCCAAGCAAGAGACUGUUGAAAAAAAUCAUUCUUAAAGGAGGGAAAACCCUAAUCUGAAAAAAGGGGUCACAUUCAUUUAUUUUUUUCUGUCUGUUUAUAUUUGAAGUCUUUGAAAAGCAAAUUUAUUCUUACCACUUAAAAGUGACUUAAAAGACAUCAGUAUGAGCUGUGGCUUUAUAGUUGACUUUUAGUCCAAUAGUUUAAGUCACAACCUUGGGAAAAUGGUCAGUCUUUCCCCUUUGUUCUCUGACAAACUACCUUGUAAAUAAAUGAGCAUGCCUGGUCAGUAGUGAGGUUGGCUGAAAGAAAGAGAACGUUUAGGAUAUUUCUUUGAUCUCUUUGACCCAAUUGUGUGCUUUACUCUGUAGUCAGGAUGCAAGAAAGCAGUCCUUAACAAAAUCUCCAAUGUGAUUUCCAUGUGGACACCAUACGCCAUGCCCUUAAAAUAACUCUUUCUAAUCUUCAGUCUUACAAUGUUCCAGAUUUAAAUUCCAUCUGUACCCACCUCCCAGCUUCUUUUCUGCCACUCCAGGGCUGAGUAGCCAUAAAUAAUCUCUCCAUCUUUGGGGCUGAGUCAAACAUACAGGAUAACUUAAGAGAAUGCCUUAUCUGUAUGGUUGAAUUUAACUCUAUGGAUUUCAGAAUAAAUAUUCUUUACUGAGAGCUACUACAAGGUCUACCUAAAUGUCUUCAUUUUAGACGAUGGUGAAACUUUAAUAACUACUCUCUUAUAAAUUAAUAAAUAUUGUAUUGUGUGUUAUGUGUAGUACUAGAGGCCUGGUGCAUGAAUUCGUGCACCAGUGGGGUCCCUUGGCCUGGCCUGUGGGAUGGAGCCGAAACUGGCUCUCCAACAUCCCUCAAGGGGUCCUGGAUUUUGAGAGGGUGCAGGCCAGGCUGAGGGACCCCACUGGUGCAUGAUUGGGGCUGGG